UUCGUAGGUGGCAAGCGUUGUCCGGAAUUAUUGGGCGUAAAGCGCGCGCAGGCGGUCCUUUAAGUCUGAUGUGAAAGCCCACGGCUCAACCGUGGAGGGUCAUUGGAAACUGGGGGACUUGAGUACAGAAGAGAAGAGUGGAAUUCCACGUGUAGCGGUGAAAUGCGUAGAGAUGUGGAGGAACACCAGUGGCGAAGGCGACUCUUUGGUCUGUAACUGACGCUGAGGCGCGAAAGCGUGGGGAGCAAACAGG
rnacentral:rRNA from 1 species